ACAUAAAGUUGGCAACAGCAUGUAGCAAUAGAGAAGAAAGGCGAGAGUCUCCGACUCCGUCCCCUCCCCUUCGCAUCCCAUGCAACGGCGUCGAAAUCGGCAUCUCCUUCAGACAUAAACCGCUUGCUUUAAUAAAGAAAAGGGUACAGAUAUUUUAAUUUUCGUUUCCCUCUCUGUUUCUCUACAUCAUGGCAUUGCGUUGGCAGGACUGCAUAUGGUUGGUGAUGAAUGUUAAUGGCGUGGCCAGCUGCACAGUUCUCUCCUUCCAUUUUCGUCCCGUGUCCAAUAAUCUGCACAGAAGGACUCACAAAAUAGUUGCAGAAUUGCUUUGGUUGCAGCUCAUAGGGCUUGUUGAUGAAUGAUUGGUGGGCAAAUUUGAAGAUUGAGGUGUGCAGAUGAUGAAACUUUUGAAUUGCUGGGUAAAGAACAUGCGCUUGUCAUUUGCAAUCAUAUAAGAGUGACGUUGAUUGGCUUGUCGGAUGGAGCUGGUAAUGGUUGAUUUGCAUAUGUUCAUUGAGUCUACAAAUAAGACCCUCAAAAUCUUCCAUGAAGAAAAUAUCUGCUUCUCUGUAGGAGGAUUCAUUUUUC